UACGUAGGGCGCAAGCGUUAUCCGGAAUUAUUGGGCGUAAAGAGCUCGUAGGCGGCUUGUCGCGUCGACCGUGAAAACUUGGGGCUCAACCCCAAGCCUGCGGUCGAUACGGGCAGGCUAGAGCUCGGUAGGGGAGACUGGAAUUCCUGGUGUAGCGGUGAAAUGCGCAGAUAUCAGGAGGAACACCGGUGGCGAAGGCGGGUCUCUGGGCCGAUACUGACGCUGAGGAGCGAAAGCGUGGGGAGCGAACAGG
rnacentral:rRNA from 1 species